rnacentral:lncRNA from 1 species
CUCCACUUCUGUUCCUCCCCGCCCUGGUGCUGCUCCGGGUCACAUACUCGUCCUGAGCCGGCUUCAGCCUCUCCGCGCAGAAGUCUCCCGGAGCCGACUUCUGAGAGUCGAGUACUCCUAUGUGAAGACUACCAAGCUCGUGUUCAAGGGAACCAAGGCGAAGAGUAAGAAGAAAAAGAACAAAGAUAAGAAAAGAAAAAGAGAAGAAGAUGAAGAAACCCAGCUUGAUAUGUUGAAUCACCCUGAAAUCUGGCUAUGGAAAAUAUCUUGGUAUAAAUUCAGAUGAACUUGUUGUUGGGCGUUCAGAUGCAAUUGGACCAAGAGAACAAUGGGAACCAGUCUUUAAAAUUGGGAAAAUGGCUUUGUCGACCUCAAAUAGCUGCUUUAUUAGAUACAGUGAAGCAGAGGACAUAGAAGCAAAAAGUAAAACAGCAGGAGAAGAAGAAAUGAUCAAGGCUCUCCUAAUCUCUGUCAGACCUUCACCUUUAUGACCUUGCCUUAUCUACCAGAACACAGAUCCCUCUUACUAAAGAUUAGAUCCUGUGCUGAAAGAGAAACCAAGAAAAAAGAUGACAUUCCAGAAGAAGACAAAGGAAAUAUAAAACAAUGUGAAAUCAA